rnacentral:rRNA from 1 species
AUUGAACGCUGGCGGCAUGCCUUACACAUGCAAGUCGAACGGCAGCACGGGUGCUUGCACCUGUUGGCGAGUGGCGAACGGGUGAGUAAUACAUCGGAACAUGUCCUGUAGCGGGGGAUAGCCCGCCGAAAGCCGGAUUAAUACCGCAUACGAUCCACGGAUGAAAGCGGGGGACCUUCGGGCCUCGCGCUAUAGGGUUGGCCGAUGGCUGAUUAGCUAGUUGGUGGGGUAAAGGCCUACCAAGGCGACGAUCAGUAGCUGGUCUGAGAGGACGACCAGCCACACUGGGAGUGGAACACGGCCCAGACUCCUACGGGAGGCAGCAGUGGGGAAUUGUGGACAAUGGGCGAAAGCCUGAUCCAGCAAUGCCGCGUGUGUGAAGAAGGCCUUCGGGUUGUAAAGCACUUUUGUCCGGAAAGAAAUCCUUGACUCUAAUACAGUCGGGGGAUGACGGUACCGGAAGAAUAAGCACCGGCUAACUACGUG